GACGAACGCUGGCGGCGUGCCUAACACAUGCAAGUCGAACGGAAAGGCCCUGCUUUUGUUGGGUGCUCGAGUGGCGAACGGGUGAGUAACACGUGAGUAACCUGCCCUUGACUUUGGGAUAACUUCAGGAAACUGGGGCUAAUACCGCAUAGGAGCUCCUGCUGCAUGGUGGUGGUUGGAAAGUUUCGGUGGUUGGGGAUGGACUCGCGGCUUAUCAGCUUGUUGGUGUGGUAGUGGCUUACCAAGGCUUUGACGGGUAGCCGGCCUGGGAGGGUGACCGGGCACAUUGGGACUGAGAUAGGGCCCAGACGGCAACGGGAGGCAGCAGUGGAGAAUAUUGCACAAUGGGCGGAAGCAUGAUGGAGCAACGCCGGGUGCGGGAUGACGGCCUUCGGGUUAUAAACCGCUUUCGACUGUGACGAAGAGUGAGUGACGGUAAUGGAUAAAAAAGCAACGGCUAACUACGUG
rnacentral:rRNA from 1 species